UACGUAGGGCGCAAGCGUUGUCCGGAAUUAUUGGGCGUAAAGAGCUCGUAGGCGGCUUGUCACGUCGGAUGUGAAAGCCCGGGGCUUAACUCCGGGUCUGCAUUCGAUACGGGCUAGCUAGAGUGUGGUAGGGGAGAUCGGAAUUCCUGGUGUAGCGGUGAAAUGCGCAGAUAUCAGGAGGAACACCAAUAGCGAAGGCAGCUCGCUGGGACGGUAUUGACGCUAAGGCGCGAAAGCGUGGGGAGCAAACAGG
rnacentral:rRNA from 1 species